rnacentral:rRNA from 1 species
AUUGGACGCUGGCGGCAGGCUUAACACAUGCAAGUCGAGCGGAGAUGAGGUGCUUGCACCUUAUCUUAGCGGCGGACGGGUGAGUAAUGCUUAGGAAUCUGCCUAUUAGUGGGGGACAACAUUCCGAAAGGAAUGCUAAUACCGCAUACGUCCUACGGGAGAAAGCAGGGGAUCUUCGGACCUUGCGCUAAUAGAUGAGCCUAAGUCGGAUUAGCUAGUUGGUGGGGUAAAGGCCUACCAAGGCGACGAUCUGUAGCGGGUCUGAGAGGAUGGACCGCCACACUGGGACUGAGACACGGCCCAGACUCCUACGGGAGGCAGCAGUGGGGAAUAUUGGACAAUGGGGGGAACCCUGAUCCAGCCAUGCCGCGUGUGUGAAGAAGGCCUUAUGGUUGUAAAGCACUUUAAGCGAGGAGGAGGCUACUGAGACUAAUACUCUUGGAUAGUGGACGUUACUCGCAGAAUAAGCACCGGCUAACUCUGUGCCAGCCGCCGCCGUAAUAC